UGUUCUAUGGCUUAGUCGGUUAAAGCGCCGGUCUAGCGAAUACGGAGUCAUGGGUUCGAAUCCCACCAGAACGC
rnacentral:tRNA from 1 species